AAGCUGAUGGUCCCGGGUUCAAAUCCUGGUAAGGGCAUUUAUUCGUGUGAUGAGCAUGGAUAUUUGUUCCUGAGUCAUGGCUGUUUUCUAUGUAUUUAAGUAUUUAUAAAUAUCCUCAACACAAGCCUUAUUGAGCUUACUGUGGGACUUAGUCAAUUUGUGUAAUAAUGUCCUAUAAUAUUUAUUUCUUUUUAUUUAUUUAUAUUUUAUCCCAGACUACGCAUUGCAAUGCUGACAAUCCCGUGUUAAAAAAUAUACGUGGAGGAUGGCUGGUAAAGAGUGAUUUAAGAUAAUAAGUCCACCUUUUGUACCUUAAGGAUUUCUUUAGUACAAUACAAAAUAAUCUUUAAAAAAAAAGUAAAACCGACUUCAAAGAGGACAAAAUAAAAUAUUAUUCCGUUUUAUAUGCGCUAGCAACUGAUACGUUUGAAGUCGGUUUUACGUUUUAUUAAGAGUAUUUUAUUUUUAAAUUUUUAGUUUUAAGUUUUUCUUAUGAGUGAAGCAUAAUUUUUUUUACAGUUUGGCCAGACUCGUUCGUAUAUGUCAUGUCACUAAACAUUUUUACGCUUCGGGUACGUAUCAAGUUUCAUGAUCUGGAUCUGAAGCUAUCAAGAUUUGAGGACUUGAACCUCAUGGAACCCAUCAUCAGAACUAGAUCUUAUACAAAUAUUCCUUCAGAAUGUACUUGCUUAACAAACAUAACAACGAGGACAAAUCGCCAAAAGUGAAAUAUGCGUUGUUAAAGAGUCCCGUUCUAGUCAUCAUCAGCAGUUCCCUUCAUCAAAUAGCACUGUUUUGGAUGAAAAUGCUUGGUUUGUUGAUGAAAAUACUAGAAUCGCUAAAUGUAUGCAUAUAGGAUAUGAGGAGACCCCUGGAUUCCUCAUGGAUCCCAUCAUCAGAAGUGGGUUUCGUCAAAAACGAGACAAACUUGGGGCUAUUACAUUCAAAUAACAAAAAAUCCAAAUCGGUUUAGUAAUUACAGAGUUCUGAAGUAACAAACAUAAAAAAAUACGGCCGAAUUGAGAUAACCUUCUGUUUUUUGAAGUCGGUUAAAAUUUUAAAUAAAUGAGAAAAUUAUAACAAUGAGUAGGUACAAUAAUCACGUGGCGCGCCAUGUGCUGCGUUGGCUCGAGGCUCUUCCGCCUUGGAAGGACACAAAAUGGUUGAAUUUGCAUACAACGCUGUGUGCUGGCUGCAAUCGUACGGAAGGGCUUAUAGUUCUUAAAGAUUAAAGACUGGAAUUACAGAUAAAACGGCUGUGCUGAUCAAUGCAGAACUAUGGUAGACAGCCUAGGCCACCACGUCCUUUCAUGCGGCCAGAAUGCUGGGAGGUUUCCUCGGCACGCCAGCAUCAAUGACGUCAUCCAAAGGGCCCUUGUCAUUGCCAAGGUGCCGGUGGUCCUCGAGCUCAACGGACUGGCCAGACGGAAUGACAUUGGUGCCUUGGAGUAUGGGUCGGCCUCCUGUCUGGGAUACUGCUGCUUUUUGCGUUGACACUGGAAACAUUGCAACACCCAUGGAAAUAUUGCAGGCCUAUUAUGAAUUAUCAUAUUGAUAUCCACGAUUAACCGAAUAAAAUUGGUAACGGUACAAGUGGGGACGCGAGGACUCCCGAAACACUGUAUUAUUAAAGACUGUUCCUGUACUUCUGCAUGUCAGGACUAACGAAUUAGAAACUCCUCAACAUGAUCACAACUUGAGGAGUGAGAGCUACCUCUUAAAUAAAUUUGUAUUAAUAUUUUCGAGAACAUUGAUUGAAACUACAAGUCAACCGUAUUCUUGGCUAUUUUACGUGUGUAUAUUUUCAGUUAUUGGUCAAUUAACAGUCUUUGCGAGUAAGUAAAAACCCAUAUCAUCUACCAUUUUGCUCUUGUAACAUAAUGUUUAAGAAACUUUCAUGUGGAACAAAAGGUCAAGAAAUCCAUGGCCUAAUAUUGGGUUUUGAUAAUUGUCCUAAAAUAAACGGAAUAAAUUUACAUUAAACGUUCUAAAUUAGAGCAUAAAUUAAUGUAAAUAAGUAAAUCUAAAUCAAUGUGUAAGCUAUUUAUAGAUGACGUGCUGUUUAUUUACUUUGAAGACCCAAAUACACCGAAUUACAGAACAAAUUAUGCGUGAGAAUGUUCAGUUUUGAUAUUGUUCAAUUAAAAUAUAUGACGUAAAGUACUCGUGUAGGAAUAAGUUCGGUAAAACUGAAGAUAAACCCAAUAAAAUGUUAUACAAUAACCGAUUGUAAUACCAGAUUUUUCAUCGGUUUGAUUUUGUCGAACAUACUUAUUAGCACACUUACUUAACUUACUUAAGUAAUUAUUGGGCAUUAUUUGGAAACGUAUUUACUUAUUAGUCCGCGUACUAGUAAGUGUGCAGGAGCAUUCACAGAAUUUGGUUGGAAUUAGAUUGAAAUAAGAUUUUAGGUACAGAAAGAAUUAAACGGUAGGAAAUCUAGGCUAGUUUACUUUCUCUUCUCUUCUUGGCUUUAUAGCCCAGUUGCUUCCUCAACUUGAGGUUUGGACAUUUGGGGCUAACAUUUUUAAUUUUUAGAAAGUGUCACUUCUGUGUUCAAUACAAUAAAAGUGAACGACUAGGGUGACUAUAUAUUUUCGUAUUUUAUUCUAAAGUACUGCAACAAUGUAGGUACCCCGCCUGUAAAGGGGCAGUGUAUAAAUGAAAUCAAGAACCUUUAAUUUACAAUGUUUAUAGGAAAGACGCGAGCGGGUUAAGCAUAAAUACUAUAAAAUGUGUAUUAUUAAUAAUCUCCACCACUGCACUGAGUUACUCUGAAAAUUCCUCAUUAUUAUUUUAAUCCUCAUUAAUUUGUGAACAAGGAACGCGUACAUUUAGGUAACACGUGAUCCUAUACGAGGUGGGUAAGUACGUAUGUAUUUUGGGAAGUAAUCAGAGACAGCACAUGCGCGCACGCAUGCCGCGCAACGUGAUUGUGAGUUAAAGCGAUGACUCGUCGCGAAAAGUAAAUAAAUUCAAUCUCAACUUCACUAAACCCUACUCACCAAUAAUCGCUUAAGUUAAUAUUUUAUCUGAGUGUGCAAUAUUUUAUGUUUUCACUUGAUAACGAUUGGUAAAAAAAAAAACAUGAUAGAGUCAGACCAAGUUACGUUGGCAGCGAUUUUGAUAGCCCAGACGGUACGAGUGUUGAGUAAACGUCAUAAAUUCAAAGUUUGGCGUUUGAAAUAACAUUUGCACCGUCUGGGCUAUCAAAAUCACUGCGAACUUAUCUUGGUCUGACUACUAAUAUGCAUACAUAUUUACAUAAUUUUCUACAACGAGGCUCACAGAAAAUAUCUAUCUAUAUAGGUAAAAAUAAUUAAUGACUGCAAACUGAACAUGUUUAGAAGCAAACCGUAGUUUAGUACUAGUAGUAUGCAAUCUGCUUACAUCACACACAUAUUUAAGAAGUUUGAUACCGUAAGUUGAUUUAUUUAGCAGUUCCAUUACAUUUGCUCCCAAUAUGCUGUAAAGGUUAUACCCAUCCCUACUGUUUCCUUAUUAGGCCUAACCCUGCAAUUUGACCUCAGAUAACCUUUCAACGUGAGACCUAGAUCUAGUUCGAUUUAUAUGAAAAAGUCGUAUAUAUAACGUGAUCCAGGCCUCCCAGUCGCAUUCAUCUUCCAGCCUGCACAAAGGAUGUCUGAGGUUGCAUGCACGUGAGAGUUUAUGGAAAUAUAACAAAGCCAAUAAAAAGACAUUUGUUAUAAACAUAAUAUUUGCAAGAAUAUCCAAGGAAAUAAAAGGGGUUAUGUUCAAUGU